ACGAACGCUGGCGGCGUGCCUAAUACAUGCAAGUAGAACGCUGAAGGAGGAGCUUGCUUCUCUGGAUGAGUUGCGAACGGGUGAGUAACGCGUAGGUAACCUGCCUGGUAGCGGGGGAUAACUAUUGGAAACGAUAGCUAAUACCGCAUAAGAGUAGAUGUUGCAUGACAUUUGCUUAAAAGGUGCAAUUGCAUCACUACCAGAUGGACCUGCGUUGUAUUAGCUAGUUGGUGAGGUAACGGCUCACCAAGGCGACGAUACAUAGCCGACCCGAGAGGGUGAUCGGCCACACUGGGACUGAGACACGGCCCAGACUCCUACGGGAGGCAGCAGUAGGGAAUCUUCGGCAAUGGACGGAAGUCUGACCGAGCAACGCCGCGUGAGUGAAGAAGGUUUUCGGAUCGUAAAGCUCUGUUGUAAGAGAAGAACGAGUGUGAGAGUGGAAAGUUCACACUGUGACGGUAUCUUACCAGAAAGGGACGGCUAACUACGUG
rnacentral:rRNA from 1 species